rnacentral:rRNA from 1 species
GACGGAGGGUGCAAGCGUUGUCCGGAUUGACUGGGCGUAAAGGGCGUGUAGGCGGUUGGUCAAGUCUGAUGUGAAAGCCCGGGGCUCAGCCCCGGAAGGGCAUCGGAAACUAGCCAGCUGGAGCGCGAUAGAGGAGGGUGGAAUUCCUGGUGUAGCGGUGAAAUGCGUAGAUAUCAGGAGGAACACCGGCGGCGAAGGCGGCCCUCUGGAUCGUUGCUGACGCUGAGACGCGAAAGCGUGGGGAGCAAACAGG